rnacentral:rRNA from 1 species
AGGUCCAGCCUGCCCAGUGACAUUUUAAACGGCCGCGGUAUCCUGACCGUGCGAAGGUAGCAUAAUCAUUUGUUCUUUAAAUGAGGACUAGUAUCAACGGCAUCACGAGGAUUUUACUGUCUCCUUUUUCUCAUCAGUGAAACUGAUCUCCCCGUGAAGAAGCGGGGAUAAUACUAUAAGACGAGAAGACCCCAUGGAGCUUAAAACCAAUGACAUCUCAAAUCUAUUUCUUUCCCCCAAGUUUUUAUGCCCUGUCUACCGGUUUUGGGUUGGGGCGACCGCGGAGUAUAACUUAACCUCCACAACGCACGGAACUUCCUCCUUAUCUAAGAGCCACGUCUCAAAGAAUUAAUAAAUUGACGUAAAAUGAUCCAAUUAUUUUGAUCAAUGAACCAAGUUACCCUGGGGAUAACAGCGCAAUCCAUUUUUAGAGCUCCUAUCGACAAAUGGGUUUACGACCUCGAUGUUGGAUCAGGGUAUCCCAGUGGUGCAGCCGCUACUAAUGGUUUGUUUGUUCAACAAUUAAAACCCUACGUGAUCUGAGU